rnacentral:rRNA from 1 species
AACGAACGCUGGCGGCAUGCCUAACACAUGCCAGUCGAACGAGACCUUCGGGUCUAGUGGCGCACGGGUGCGUAACGCGUGGGAACCUGCCCUUAGGUUCGGAAUAACUCCCCGAAAGGGGUGCCAAUACCGGAUAAUGUCUUCGGACCAAAGAUUUAUCGCCUUUGGAUGGGCCCGCGUUGGAUUAGCUAGUUGGUAGGGUAAAAGCCUACCAAGGCGACGAUCCAUAGCUGGUCUGAGAGGAUGAUCAGCCACACUGGGACUGAGACACGGCCCAGACUCCUACGGGAGGCAGCAGUGGGGAAUAUUGGACAAUGGGCGAAAGCCUGAUCCAGCAAUGCCGCGUGAGUGAUGAAGGCCUUAGGGUUGUAAAGCUCUUUUACCCGGGAUGAUAAUGACAGUACCGGGAGAAUAAGCGCCGGCUAACUCCGUG